GACGAACGCUGGCGGCGUGCUUAACACAUGCAAGCCGAACGGUAAGGCCCUUCGGGGUACACGAGUGGCGAACGGGUGAGUAACACGUGGGUGAUCUGCCCUGCACUUCGGGAUAAGCCUGGGAAACUGGGUCUAAUACCGGAUAGGACUCCGGACUGCAUGGUCUGGGGUGGAAAGCUUUUGCGGUGUGGGAUGGGCCCGCGGCCUAUCAGCUUGUUGGUGGGGUGAUGGCCUACCAAGGCGACGACGGGUAGCCGGCCUGAGAGGGUGACCGGCCACACUGGGACUGAGAUACGGCCCAGACUCCUACGGGAGGCAGCAGUGGGGAAUAUUGCAUAAUGGGCGCAAGCCUGAUGCAGCGACGCCGCGUGAGGGAUGACGGCCUUCGGGUUGUAAACCUCUUUCAGCAUCGACGAAGCGAAAGUGACGGUAGGUGCAGAAGAAGGACUGGCCAACUACGUGCCAGCCGCCGCAGUAA
rnacentral:rRNA from 1 species